rnacentral:rRNA from 1 species
UACGGGGGGGCAAGCGUUGUUCGGAAUUACUGGGCGUAAAGGGCUCGUAGGCGGCCAUCUAAGUCGGACGUGAAAUCCCGAGGCUCAACCUCGGAACUGCCUUCGAUACUGGCGAUCUUGAGUCCGGGAGAGGUGAGUGGAACUCCGAGUGUAGAGGUGAAAUUCGUAGAUAUUCGGAAGAACACCAGUGGCGAAGGCGGCUCACUGGCCCGGUACUGACGCUGAGAUACGAAAGCGUGGGGAGCAAACAGG